rnacentral:rRNA from 1 species
UACGGGGGGGGGCAAGCGUUGUUCGGAAUUACUGGGCGUAAAGGGCGCGUAGGCGGCCUUCUAAGUCGGACGUGAAAUCCCUCGGCUUAACCGAGGAACUGCGUCCGAUACUGAAAGGCUUGAAUCCGGGAGAGGGAUGUGGAAUUCCUGGUGUAGCGGUGAAAUGCGCAGAUAUCAGGAGGAACACCGGUGGCGAAGGCGGAUCUCUGGGCCAUUACUGACGCUGAGGAGCGAAAGCGUGGGGAGCGAACAGG